AACAGCAACCAAACUCCGAAUACCCGUGAUGCGUAUCCCGGCAGUGAGUCGGCGGGGGAUAAGCUCCGUCGUCGAAAGGGAAACAGCCCAGAUCGUCGUCUAAGGUCCCCAAGCGUGUGCUAAGUGGGAAAGGAUGUGGAGUCGCAUAGACAGCCAGGAGGUUGGCUCAGAAGCAGCCACCCUUGAAAGAGUGCGUAACAGCUCACUGGUCUAGUGGUUCCGCGCCGACAAUGUAGCGGGGCUCAAGCACACCACCGAAGACGCGGCAGUAGCUUUGCUACUGGGUAGGAGAGCGUCCCAUGCGGGGCGAAGCGGCGGCGCAAGCCCGCCGUGGACUGCAUGGGAGUGAGAAUGCAGACAUGAGUAGCGAAAGACGGGUGAAGAUCCCGUCCGCUGGACGACCAAGGGUUCCAGGGCCACGUUCAUCGUCCCUGGGUGAGUCGGGUCCUAAGGCGAGGCCGACAGGCGUAGUCGAAUGGAUGAACGGGUCGAUAUUCCCGUACCGGCAUGCAACCGACAAAACCGAAUCCGCGAGUACUAACCUCCGGGUCCGGGCUUACGUCUCCUUCGGGAGCCGGAUGCCCUGGCCUGUUGGGACCGUAACGGUAGUAGGUCAGCGCGGGAGUGACGCAGAAGGGUAGCCGGCCGCGGAGGUGGUCUUCCGUGGUCAAGCACGCAGCCCGUCCCACAGGCAAAUCCGUGGGGCGCGUGGGCGAGGUGCGAUGAUGGGCGCCGCAGGGCGCGAUAUCCGGUGAUCCCGGCUGCCGAGAAAAGCUUCGGCGUGAGGCGGCGUGCCGCCCGUACCCCAAACCGACACUGGUGGUCAGGUAGAGAAUACCAAAGCGAUCGAGCGAAUCCUGGUCAAGGAACUCGGCAAAUCACUCCCGUUCCUUCGGUUUAAGGGAGACCCCCGAUGGUGAAGCGGCUUGCCCGUGGAGCUUUUGGGGGUGGCACAGACCAGGGGGUAGCGACUGUUUACCAAAAACACAGGAGCGUGCGAAGGCGCAAGCCGCUGUAUACGCUCUGACGCCUGCCCGGUGCCGGAAGGUUAAGAGGAUCCGUCAGGCUUCGGCCGAAGCGGUGAAUUCAAGCCCCGGUAAACGGCGGUGGUAACUAUAACCAUCCUAAGGUAGCGAAAUUCCUUGUCGGGUAAGUUCCGACCUGCACGAANGGCGUAACGAUUUGGGCACUGUCUCAACGAGAGACUCGGUGAAAUUUUAG
rnacentral:rRNA from 1 species